rnacentral:rRNA from 1 species
UACGUAGGGGGCAAGCGUUGUCCGGAUUUAUUGGGCGUAAAGAGCGUGUAGGCGGCUGGGUAGGUCCGUUGUGAAAACUCGAGGCUCAACCUCGAGACGCCGAUGGAAACCCUCCAGCUAGAGUCCGGAAGAGGAGAGUGGAAUUCCUGGUGUAGCGGUGAAAUGCGCAGAUAUCAGGAAGAACACCUAUGGCGAAGGCAGCACUCUGGGACGGUACUGACGCUGAGACGCGAAAGCGUGGGGAGCGAACAGG